rnacentral:lncRNA from 1 species
AGGUAGGGAACAACCCUUUCAACUUCUUUUUUAAUCUGGAUAGCACAUACAUGUAAAUUUUCAUAAACUUAUUAUGUUGAUGCAUCACAUGAGUAAGAACCUAAAAUCUCAUCAGUGUUUCAUCACAUCACAGGUAACACACAACAAUAUAAUACCAUCAACAAAAGCAUCUUGUUGCAUGGCAACAUAACAUACAACAAUAGAAAUUGCUGCACGUUUCAGCGCUGGCGGCGGCGGCAUGCCUCUGAUGCCUCCCUUCAACCGCACGGCAAGGAGAGGAGCGCUAUGAGUUAUCGCAAGCGGCAAUGAGCCUUUGGGAGAUUUCGUCGAGAAAGGCGGCGGAGAUGUUGAGCUUCGCCUCGAAGGUCCUAAUGGCAGCCCUGAUCCUCUCGAUGGUGAACGGCUCUACACCGUUGGCAUCAUGGGUCCUCAGCUGAACGCACUUCUUCUCAUACGACCGCCCGAUGCCCCGAUGCACUCCCCUGCAUGCAUAUGCACUCCAGUUCAUAUCUUUGGCUUGAAUAUAGCACACGCACUACAAAGAGACAACCAUUUGAUAAGCAAGUUCUAAUAUCAAGUCAAAGACUAUUAACAAAAAUAAACACGGUGGUGCCUUUAGGUGUAUUUGACAACAAAUAAUAAGAAAUAUUAAGUCCAAGUACUCAUUAACAAGUCAUAAGCAGUUGAGAACUAAUCCUAGAUCUAUCAUUGCCAUAUAAAAAGGAUCAGGUGUAUUUCCAAUAAAGAGUAAACCUGGUUUGUGCAGCUUAGGUAACCAAAUAAAUUUAGAUGGCCACAUGCUAAGAAUUUUUCACAGAUAAUUAAUAUCUGGUAGAUAUUUGGAACUCUCUCCAAAAUGCUGGAAAUCAGAUGAGUCAGUUUUGCACCUUACUCUCUUCUAACGCAAAAAGAACACUAAAAUAGAUCUCAGUACCAUCGAUUAACAAUGAACUAUUAUUUAUACUAAUCGAGCAUUUUCGUUCGGAAAUAGACCAUUGUAUUUGUAAAUAUACAAAGGGGCAUCUGUUGUACUUUGACAUUGUACUUAUGCAAGGCCUAACUGUUAUACUGAAGCAUAGGUAAGAUCAGAUGUUAGUCAGCGGGUAAUGUGCAGCAACCUACCAUUUUAAUAUAGUUCUGCAGCUAAUAUUUCAGUUCCCAAACAUAGUAAAAAAAAUCAUCCUAGGCUUGUGGCCCUCCUAAAAGACAAUAGAACAAAUAUUAACAUGUUUUGUGCAAGGGCAUUCAUAGGUAAGAUAAGCUUGUCAAAAAUGUUUUAACUGUAGAAAUAGCAUAUGUACCCUUUUUAACACUAGCAUAACUCUACAAAUGUAGUGGAAAUAAAGCUCGACACUAUAAUAUGCUCACAUUAAGGCUGGAAGCUUUGGUAACUUAUCAAACCAAAACAAACAAAUUCAAUAAUGUAAUUGCUAUAUAUAGUGGACAUAAACCUGACACCUAGUCUACUAUGCUGACCUAAUAAUAAGAAAAAUAAGAUAAAUGAGAGAAUCACCUCAAACGACACCUUACUCACAAACUUACCAACAAGGGCAUAACCUGAAUCAGUAGGAGGACCACAACAAGAAAGAUAAGUAUGUCUCCAGAGGAGUUGCACCAAAACAAAGUUCAAGAAAAAAUAUAAAUGGAGAAAAAGAAGUGUGAGUGUGACCCUGUCCAUCACUUACAUCUAACACACAGACUGAAUAUAGUCAUAGUAACUCGAUACAUUUAUAUUGAAAAUAACAGAGAAAAUGCAUUGUAGAUUCUGCAAAUGCGUGUGCCGCAAACCAAGCUAUCUGAGAAUCAGGCAAUCACUAGUUUACCUAAGUAAGAGGAUAUGUAAUUAAUUGUUUGAAUUUCUCUGUAGACUUUCAUUGCCAUGUUUGAAACAAUAACUAACACACAAGUGACUGGUAUAUCUCUCUUCUUCUUAUCAGCAAGCACUUCACUAAGAUGUAUGCAAACCAAAAUGCAUAGAAAUACUACACAACAGCUUUUUCCAAAGGUGAACCAUAAUGCGUAGAAAUGGGAGCGAAGAAAGUGAUCAUAUACCUAUGAACACAUAAAUAUCUCAUUAGCAGCUGAAAAGAAGCAGUUGCUCGCUGUAGCUUCUAGCCAUAUAUAUCCCAGGUGGAUGCCUUUGCUUCAAGCAAAUCUUUCAGUCCAUCACAACUUCCUCAGUUUUUCAUUGUAAACCUACAUGGAGCAGGCUAGCAUAACUGCCAAGUUAUUUGGAAGCAACAAGUAAGGAAAUAAAUGUGAAAACUGAUUAUUUGCUGCUUCUGAUUUAAAGUCAGGAGCUUGUGCAUCUCAUGUUCUUUCCAUCUGCCUUCCUCCUUCAGCUAGUUAAUAUAACACACCAUUCUCACCACAAGUCCUUGAAGAAACCACGAACUUACAAAAAAAAGAUCUACAAACCAUCAAAGCGAGUGACCCGAAACACUUCCUUUUCACAAGCAGCCUCCAAGGUCUAAUGCAUUUCUACUUUUCAGAGGUGAUCAUGUUCAAUAACCUCUAAAUUUGACGCAUCACUAUGACGGCCUAGCAUAGAAUAUACACUUCAUAUUUAUCCUUGAAAAAUAGACUUGCAAGGCAGAUAACUUAUUCAUACAACUAAACAAUUGCUAAUCAAAGAACAGGCAUCAAAUCUUAUAACAUGAGCGCUUACAUCUUUUUCAAAGCCUAGGUUGUUGUUGGCUUUGAUCUCCUGAACCCGCUUCUCAAACAGUCGAUCUCUCAGCUUCUUUAUUAUCUCCUCACAACCAGAGGAAGUUAAAACUCAUGUCCCUAUCCUAUGUGUAUUAAAAAUAAUUGUUUGCUUAGUAAUCUUUCAGAUAAUCAUAUCGUGAAAAGAGAAUAUCAUAGCUCCCACUCCAACCCAUAUGGAAAAGAAGUAAUGCGAAAACAAAACUAAAUUGAAGCUUAGGGAAACCAAAGUGUUAUUAGUACUACUGGGUUAGUCCGACUACAUAUAAUGCUGGAGUUAGGGAAUCAAAACAGAGUAACUGAAGCUUAGUCAUUUUGGGCAAAACAAGGAUGAUAACCCAAGAGGGCAACGCGUAGAUCCAUCCCGCAGAAACCAAGACCUUCGACAAAAACAAUUAUUUUUUCCUCCUAUAGUUGCAUGCAUCAGCAUCCACAAUAACUAUUUUUGUAUAUAUAACACAACAGCGUAAUAUAACUUCAGGGAUAUGUAAAUGGUGCUCAGUAAUCUGACACUAUCCAUCAUAUCUAAUCUGGAAAUAGAGAACCAUCACUCGUACAUAGCAUGAUAUGUUAAAAAUCCACAUGGACCACUUGCACUCAGAGAACAAUUCAUAUAGAGCUUCAGGUAAAGAAAGAAAGGAAACACCUGAUUGGCAGUAACAUAUGGAUACAUUACUUUUAGAACAGACUGCUCCAUGCCAACUUGUUCUGCUUAGGGACAACUUCACAAAUACAAUUCAUGUUAAUAUUAUAGCUAAGAACAAAUUGUUACAAAAGGAGAAGAAUCAACACUAUAUUUCUAUUUGAUUGUUCUUAUUUCAGAGAAAGAGCAUAACUACUAUGGAAACAUAGUAGUACAAACGCUGAAUUUUCUCCUGGGUCCUUCAAAUAGGAGCAUUAAUGUGUGACAAUGCAGAAAAGGCAUCUUUGCUUAAUAGGAUUAAUAAAAUAGCAAGUAAAAUUCAGUACAUACUGAACAAGGGAGCUAUUCAUCCAGCUUAUAGAAAAACGACCUGCACUCUUGAAACAAACUACUGAACAACAAAGAAUCGGCUAUGACAAGUACAUGGAAUUCAUGAUUUCCCAGUUAUUGCUUUAGCCCUACAUUUAUCGACAGGUGAAGUAACAAAUCACUGUUUAAGUAUCUCAACCAAAUUAGAAUACAAAAAACUUACAACUUCAGUAGACAUACUCAAAAAACUACCAAGAACAGACAUUUAACCGUUGAACCAUUACCAUACAGAUGAGGUAGAUGAGAUCGAUGUCUAGAGCUGUGGACACUGAACGAAUCCAAAUGGGAGUUGUAAAAGAUAAUUAAAUCAUGUUCUGUAUCACAAAGGCUCUUUUUUAUUACAUGAUGAAUCUGCAAUACACAUUAUCAACGAAUCAUAGGAUAUAUUUGAAAUAGUAAAUUCACUCUGAACAAAGAGUAAGAUCAUCCCAAACUGUAAAUGUUCUUCAAACUUCAAAACAUAAAGGUCCAUUUUUUACUGGUUAAACGGGAAGAUUUGUGCAGUCUUUUAGAUGGUUGUUCAGAGGUUAAUUAAAUAUAAGUAUAGUGCAAAAAUAGUUUCAGCCGUUGAAAUGCAAUUAUCUCAACUAUGAGUCAAAGUAGUCCAGCCACCUGAUCUCAGAAACAGAGUCAAAGACCAUGGUGCAAACAACUUGUCAAUACAAGGAUCAUAACAUCAAACACACGAACACCACCAAAUAAAUAUGGUGAGAUCAGCAUAGUUCUUCUGAAAUUAGUGUGUUUCCUAACAAAUAGUCGAAGAAUGUAGCAAACUAAAAGGGACAUCACCAAUUUUAAAUGCCUAAUUUUAAAUGCAUAUGCAACAGAUAGAUAGCUGAAGGGGAGCCUUGGCGCAGUGGUAAAGCUGCUGCCUUGUGACCAUGAGGUCAUGGGUUCAAGUCCUGGAAACAGCCUCUUACAGAAAUGUAGGGAAAGGCUGCGUACUAUAGACCCAAAGUGGUCGGACCCUUCCCUGGACCCUGCGCAAGCGGGAGCUACAUGCACCAGGUUGCCCUUUUUUUUAUGCAACAGAUAGAUAGCUACGGUAGGAUGAGAGACCAAAGAAAAAUAAAUAAUCUUAGCAAGUUUAUAUAAAAAGAGAGAAGAUGUAAAUUGCAGUUUCCUAAAAGUGCAGUAAAAAUUAAAGAUGGGAUUGUCAGUCUAAUGGUAGAACGACCAACAUCUUUUGGCAACAAAUACCUUCCUACAAAUUAUAGAUUUUGAUGAAACUAAAGUCAAUGGAACCUUAAGCUCCCUCAAGCAUGUUAAAAAUUGUUUCUUGGAAUUGGAAGUCAAAAAUUGUUUCUUGGAAUUGGAAGUCAAGCACCUCCCACUAUGAAGUCUGCCCUGUGUGAUCUAAGCACUUCAGGAAUCAAUCCAUAUAUAACUUUUGCCUCUUUUCAUUCUACCAUUUAGAGAGAAAACUCAAGAAGUAAAAUCCCAGUACAUGGAACUUACAAGGGAGUAGCAGCUUCAGAUUGGUCGGUCUAUCCUCUCGUCACACAGCUGAUAAUACAAUAGGAAAAGUUCUACACCAACAGACAAAGCAUAGUGAUAUGCCACAAAAAUCUAACCUAUCUUGUGAACAAUCAAUCAAUCACAAAAAGAAGAAAAUGAGCCUCACCAUAUGGUCGCAACCGAGCAACCACUGUUCGGACAACACCUCCAUCUUACCCGUCGUCAGGUAUUUGGCCCACUCCAACGCCCCAGAACGACCAACACGAUUCACAAGAACCCUACAAAACCAACAAGUUCAAGAAUGGGGGCAAGAUCUUAGCACAAGAUGACCAAAAAAUCAGAGGAAUCAACGCACCUCGAUGCCAUCCUCUUGCCCGCGCCCCUCCUCUGCAACUCGCCGCCCGAACGGCACCGAACGGCACCUCGAUGACAUCCCCUUCCCCGCCCCGUCUACAGCCAUCAUGGAGGACGGGUGGAACACGAAGACGAGAAGGUUUGGGGAGAAGAGGAUCUGAGGAACGCCCCUUCUCCGGUGGCCGGUGUAGGAUGAACAAGGAUGGGCCGAUGGGGCGGGGGCGGCGGCGGCGGCAACCCCAGCUAGCCGCCCACCAUGGAGGUUGCGUGGGAGAGAUGAGAAGGGAGGGGCUCGAGGCGAUUCCCUCUUGCUCGCUGCAACCGUGGUGGAUCACCUUUGUUUUUUGUACACAAUAUAAAUCUGGCUGCACAGUAAAUCGAUUGUCUCUUCCUUCACACAUGGCACGCGCGAGCGAGGGGCCUUGAUGCGUACGUUAAUGUUUUGGAUGAUCCAACCAAGCCUAGUAUCAUAGUUAUCUAAGUCCAAUACACGAGAGCUAGCAAAAUCAUCAAAGUCUACCAACUCCGAUCCAUUUGUAUCAUCUCCAUACUCAUAUCCAUAUGGGGCACAUACAAGCUACUAAGCUUAGGUAAAAAUAUCACAAAUCCAAGUGCCCAAGUUACAUCCAACCUAGAAUCCAAGUAGUGAUAUCCAAGAUGAUCCAAUAGCUCACCAAUACCACACUCAUGCCAAUCAUAUAUACCUAUAUAAAUCUGAUAUAUCUCAAGUUGAUCAUACUACAACCUAAAGUUCUCCAGCUUCAAUCUUCAAAGGAAUCUAGCAAAAAUCAUAAUUAUAAUCCAACCAAGCCUAGUAUCAUAGUUAUCUAAGUCCAAUACAUAUGGGCAGGGCUAGCAAAAUCAUCAAAGUCUACCAACUCCGAUCCAUUUGUAUCAUCUCCAUGCUCAUAUCCAUAUAUGGGCACAUACAAGCUACUAAGCUUAGGGCAAAAUAUCACAAAUCCAAUUGCCCAAGCUACCUCCAACCUAGAAUCCAAGUAGUAAUAUCCAAGAUGAUCCAAUGGGGCAUAUACAAGCUACUAAGCUUAGGUCAAAAUAUCACAAAUCCAAGUGCCCAAGUUACCUUCAACCUAGAAUCCAAGUAGUAAUGUCCAAGAUGAUCUAAUAGUCCACCAAUACCGCACUCAUGCCAACCAUACUAUACAUAUAUAAAUCCGAUAUAUCUUAGGUUGAUCAUACUACACCCGAAAGUUCUCCAGCUUCAAUCUUCAAAGGAAGGAAUCUUCCCCGAUCCCCUAUCAUCAUACCCUCGCCACUUGACUCUGGAUCUAAAGGCUAACUAACGGCAGCAGCAGUACGCUCCCGGCAGCGUUUUCACCCCUACCCACAACUCCCGUGUACUCUCCACUGCCUGCAUAUUCGGCUAGGUAUCAUUUCCCUGGCUGCGAGUUACUCGUGUGCUGCCUUGUUCCUACAUCAUCUGCUCCCAUGCAAGUUGUCGCCAUAGCUGCAAGCUUGGGCACCGGCCCCGAACUUACCCAAGGACACCAAGCGCCCAAGUGCACGUCGCUACCUGUCGCCAAGGCUAGGGACUCCUAGCAAGGGAACGUGGGAUGCGGAACCAAGUCCGUGACACAUAACCCUCAAACAUGGUAAGGACGCCAAGUCGAAUAGACGGGAAACGAAGAGUGCACGAGAGGUAUGAAGAAGCGAUGCAAACGCUAUCAAGAGCAGCACGCCCUGCCAUCCUCCGCCUUUUCACUUGAACAUGCAAAGAGGAACCCUGAGCUGAGUCACUCGUCCCAAUUUUGCCCUCACAGUCUUAAGACCCCUGUCACUUCAUUUCCCCGGCGCCAAGGAUGGGUCCUUCACCAACACAGGGUUGCCUGCACUCAAUAACCUCUUGCAAGGUGGCAUGUACAUGUAUUUCCAUUCGCAUGGUCAAAAUCAUAUUUCUUCUUACACAUUGGGUUGAGUCAUGCCUAGUUUUCCCUCCACAACCAUGAUGAUCUUGUACAUAACAUUUUUGGAGAGGGUUAGCAAAAUCAUCGAAGUCUACCAACUCCGAUCCAUUUGUAUCAUCUCCAUGGCUCAUAUUCAUAUGGGGCACAUACAAGCUACUAAGCUUAGGUCAAAAUACAAAUCCAAGUGCCCAAGUUAUCUUGUACAUAACAUUUUUGGGGAGGGUUAGCAAAAUCAUCGAAGUCUACCAACUCCGAUCCAUUUGUAUCAUCUCCAUGGCUCAUAUUCAUAUGGGGCACAUACAAGCUACUAAGCUUAGGUCAAAAUAUCACAAAUCCAAUUGCCCAAGUUAUCUUAAACCUAGAAUCCAAGUAGUAGUAUCCAAGAUGAUCCAAUGGGGCAUAUACAAGCUACUAAGCUUAGGUCAAAAUAUCACAAAUCCAAGUGCCCAAGUUACCUCCAACCUAGAAUCCAAGUAGUAAUGUCCAAGAUGAUCUAAUAGUCCACCAAUACCGCACUCAUGCCAAUCCACCAAUACCGCACUCAUGCCAACCAUACUAUACAUAUAUAAAUCCGAUAUAUCUUAGGUUGAUCAUACUACACCCGAAAGUUCUCUAGCUUCAAUCUUCAAAAGAAGGAAUCUUCCCCGCUUCCCCUACGUCAUACCCUCGCCACUUGACUCUGGAUCUAAAGGCUAACUAACGGCAGCAGCAGUACGCUCCCGGCAGCGUUUUCACCCCUACCCACACCUCCCGUGUACUCUCCACUGCCUGCAUGUCCGGCUAGGUAUCAUUUCCCUGGCUGCGAGUUACUCGUGUGCUGCCUUGUUCCUACAUCAUCUGCUCCCAUGCAAGUUGUCGCCAUAGUUGCAAGCUUGGGCACCGCCCCCGAACAUACCCAAGGACGUCAAGCGCCCAAGUGCACGUCGCUACCUGUCGCCAAGGCUAGGGACUCCUAGCAAGGGAACGUGGGAUGCGGAACCAAGUCCGUGACACAUAACCCUCAAACAAGGUAAGGACGCCAAGUCGAAUAGACGGGAAACGAAGAGUGCACGAGAGGUAUGAAGAAGCGAUGCAAACGCUAUCAAGAGCAGCAUGCCCUGCCAUCCUCUGCCUUUUCACUUGAACUUGCAAAGAGGAACCCUGAGCUGAGUCACUCGUCCCAAAUUUGCCCUCACAGUCUUAAGACCCAUGUCACUUCAUUUCCCCCGGCGCCAAGGAAGGGUCCUUCACCAACGCAGGGGUGCCUACACUCAAUAACCUCUUGCAAGGUGGCUUCGUACCAAAAUCCCCUAAAUUAACAUUUUUUUCGUUGGCACUGCAUGUACAUGUAUCUCCAUUUGCAUGGUCAAAAUCAUAUUUCUUAUACAUUGGGUUGAGUCAUGCCUAGUUUUCCCUCCACGACCAUGAUGAUCUUGUACAUAACAUUUUUGGAGAGGGUUAGCAAAAUCAUCGAAGUCUACCAACUCCGAUCCAUUUGUAUCAUCUCCAUGGCUCAUAUUCAUAUGGGGCACAUACAAGCUACUAAGCUUAGGUCAAAAUAUCACAAAUCCAAGUGCCCAAGUUAUCUUGUACAUAACAUUUUUGGGGAGGGUUAGCAAAAUCAUCGAAGUCUACCAACUCCGAUCCAUUUGUAUCAUCUCCAUGGCUCAUAUUCAUAUGGGGCACAUACAAGCUAUUAAGCUUAGGUCAAAAUAUCACAAAUCCAAUUGCCCAAGUAACCUCCAACCUAGAGUCCAAGUAGUAGUAUCCAAGAUGAUCCAAUGGGGCAUAUACAAGCUACUAAGCUUACGUCAAAAUAUCACAAAUCCAAGCGCCCAAGUUACCUCCAACCUAGAAUCCAAGUAGUAAUGUCCAAGAUGAUCUAAUAGUCCACCAAUACCGCACUCAUGCCAAUCCACCAAUACCGCACUCAUGCCAACCAUACUAUACAUAUAUAAAUCCGAUAUAUCUUAGGUUGAUCAUACUACACCCGAAAGUUCUCUAGCUUCAAUCUUCAAAGGAAGGAAUCUUCCCCGCUUCCCCUAUUGUCAUACCCUCGCCACUUGACUCUGGAUCUAAAGGCUAACUAACGACAGCAGCAGUACGCUCCCGGCAGCGUUUUCACACUACCCACACCUCCCGUGUACUCUCCACUGCCUGCAUGUCCGGCUAGGUAUCAUUUCCCUGGCUGCGAGUUACUCGUGUGCUGCCUUGUUCCUACAUCAUCUGCUCCCAUGCAAGUUGUCGCCAUAGUUGCAAGCUUGGGCACCGCCCCCGAACUUACCCAAGGACGUCAAGCGCCCAAGUGCACGUCGCUACCUGUCGCCAAGGCUAGGGACUCCUAGCAAGGGAACGUAGGAUGCGGAACCAAGUCCGUGACACAUAACCCUCAAACAAGGUAAGGACGCCAAGUCGAAUAGACGGGAAACGAAGAGUGCACGAGAGGUAUGAAGAAGCGAUGCAAACGCUAUCAAGAGCAGCACGCCCUGCCAUCCUCUGCCUUUUCACUUGAACUUGCGAAGAGGAACCCUGAGCUGAGUCACUCGUCCCAAUUUUGCCCUCACAGUCUUAAGACCCCUGUCACUUCAUUUCCCCCGGCGCCAAGGAAGGGUCCUUCACCAACGCAGGGUUGCAUACACUCAAUAACCUCUUGCAAGGUGGCUUCGUACCAAAAUCCCCAAAAUUAACAUUUUUUUCGUUGGCACUGCAUGUACAUGUAUCUCCAUUUGCAUGGUCAAAAUCAUAUUUCUCCUUAUACAUUGGGUUGAGUCAUGCCUAGUUUUCCCUCCACGACCAUGAUGAUCUUGUACAUAACAUUUUUGGAGAGGGUUAGCAAAAUCAUCGAAGUCUACCAACUCCGAUCCAUUUGUAUCAUCUCCAUGGCUCAUAUUCAUAUGGGGCACAUACAAGCUACUAACCUUAGGUCAAAAUAUCACAAAUCCAAGUGCCCAAGUUAACUUAAACCUAGAAUCCAAGUAGCGAUAUCCAAGAUGAUCCAAUAGACCACCAAUACCACACUCAUUUCAAUCAUACUAUACCUAUAUAAAUUCGAUAUAUCUCACGUUGAUAACUCUACACCCUAAAGUUCUCCAGCUUCAAUCUUCAAAUUAAGGAAUCCAACACAAAUCAUAACUAUGAUCCAACCAAGCCUAGUAUCAUAGUUAUCUAAGUCCAAUACACAUGAGGAGAGCUAGCAAAAUCAUCAAAGUAUACCAACUCCGAUCCAUUUGUAUCAUCGCCAUGCUCAUAUCCAUAUGGGGCACAUACAAGCUACUAAGCUUAGGUAAAGAAUAUCACAAAUCCAACUGCCCAAGUUACCUCCAACCUAGAUUCCAGGUAGUGCCUCAAUCUUCAAAGGAAUCUAGCACAAAAUCUCCAUGAUCCAACCAAGCCUAGUAUCAUAGUUAUCUAAGUCCAAUACACGAGAGCUAGCAAAAUCAUCAAAGUCUACCAACUCUGAUCCAUUUGUAUCAUCUCCAUGCUCAUAUCCAUAUGGGGCACAUACAAGCUAUUAAGCUUAGGUAAAAAUAUCACAAAUCCAAGUGCCCAAGUUACAUCCAACCUAGAAUCCAAGUAGUGAUAUCCAAGAUGAUCCAAUAGCUCGCCAAUACCACACUCAUGCCAAUCAUAUAUACCUAUAUAAAUCUGAUAUGUCUCAAGUUGAUCAUACUACACCCUAAAGUUCUCCAGCUUCAAUCUUCAAAGGAAUCUAGCAAAAAUCAUAAUUAUAAUCCAACCAAGCCUAGUAUCAUAGUUAUCUAAGUCCAAUACAUAUGGGCAGGGCUAGCAAAAUCAUCAAAGUCUACCAACUCCGAUCCAUUUGUAUCAUCUCCAUGCUCAUAUCCAUAUAUGGGCACAUACAAGCUACUAAGCUUAGGUCAAAAUAUCACAAAUCCAAUUGCCCAAGCUACCUCCAACCUAGAAUCCAAGUAGUAGUAUCCAAGAUGAUCCAAUGGGGCAUAUACAAGCUACUAAGCUUAGGUCAAAAUAUCACAAAUCCAAGUGCCCAAGUUACCUCCAACCUAGAAUCCAAGUAGUAAUGUCCAAGAUGAUCUAAUAGUCCACCAAUACCGCACUCAUGCCAACCAUACUAUACAUAUAUAAAUCCGAUAUAUCUUAGGUUGAUCAUACUACACCCGAAAGUUCUCCAGCUUCAAUCUUCAAAGGAAGGAAUCUUCCCCGCUUCCCCUAUCGUCAUACCCUCGCCACUUGACUCUGGAUCUAAAGGCUAACUAACAGCAGCAGCAGUACGCUCCCGGCAGCGUUUUCACCCCUACCCACACCUCCCGUGUACUCUCCAUUGCCUGCAUGUUCGGCUAGGUAUCAUUUCCCUGGCUGCGAGUUACUCGUGUGCUGCCUUGUUCCUACAUCAUCUGCUCCCAUGCAAGUUGUCGCCAUAGCUGCAAGCUUGGGCACCAACCCCGAACUUACCCAAGGAGGCCAAGCGCCCAAGUGCACGUCGCUACCUGUCGCCAAGGCUAGGGACUCCUAGCAAGGGAACGUGGGAUGCGGAACCAAGUGCGUGACACAUAACCCUCAAACAUGGUAAGGACGCCAAGUCGAAUAGACGGGAAACGACGAGUGCACGAGAGGUAUGAAGAAGCGAUGCAAACGCUAUCAAGAGCAGCACGCCCUGCCAUCCUCCGCCUUUUCACUUGAACAUGCAAAGAGGAACCCUGAGCUGAGUCACUCGUCCCAAUUUUGUCCUAACAGUCUUAAGACCCCUGUCACUUCAUUUCCCCGGUGCCAAGGAUGGGUCCUUCACCAACACAGGGUUGCCUGCACUCAAUAACCUCUUGCAAGGUGGCAUGUACAUGUAUUUCCAUUCGCAUGGUCAAAAUCAUAUUUCUUCUUGUACAUUGGGUUGAGUCAUGCCUAGUUUUCCCUCCACAACCAUGAUGAUUUGGAGAGGAUUAGCAAAAUCAUCGAAGUCUACCAACUCCGAUCCAUUUGUAUCAUCUCCAUGGCUCAUAUUCAUAUGGGGCACAUACAAGCCACUAAGCUUAGGUCAAAAUAUCACAAAUCCAAGUGCCCAACUACUAUGCAGUCACCUAUACUUAUGGUUCUCUUUCCCUUGAAGUUUAUUUCUACUGUUAUGAGACCAUAGUGCAUCUGAAACUAUUUAUCAAGCUUCAGUCAACCCAUAGGCUUUGAGGUAAGUUUGUAAUGCUAUUUGUUUGUUCUCAGGCAUAUAAUCCUAGUUUUUGGAGAAACACGCACAAUCCAAAUCAGAGCCGUCAUAUGCUAGAUUGUGUCGUGAAAAUAAAGGGAGCUAUAUCGAGGGGGGGUAUCUAGAUGGGAUUAUAGUUCACUAAGAAAUCCGAGAGUAUUUGCCUCUAGAAAUGAACAUUGGCCCCAGAACAUCAGAACUGUGUGUGUCUUUCAACAAAGUUAGAACUCAAUUUUUUUUCUAAUAUUAUAUAAAAGAAUGGUGAAGCUUCUUGAGCCGGGAGCUAAGCAAUCAAGGAGUAGUAUAUCUGGUAGGUAGGAAGAUAAGUUGUUGCUUCGGUAGGGGGAAAAAUAACUAACAGAAACGAUGACUAUGUUAAUCAGGCAACCAUGUUAAGUAAACAAAACCCCUCUUUUAUCUAGUAGGCAGGAAGAUAGGUUGUUGAAUAGUACUGCAAGAGAACUGGGAAAUAAUGCAAAAAACAAACUGAUAAUAUUGUACUAAGUAAUUUACAAAAACGGUCAAGCAUUUCCAUACCUGAUGAUUUCAUGAACCUUUUAUAUCACAUUGUAUUCAGGAGCGUAGCUUUCAGACCAAACACCUUAUAAGCGCAGUUCCAGAUGACAAAAAUUGUGUUGUAAUUCAGGUGCACUGAUUUUUAAUAUUGGAACUGAGAC